rnacentral:rRNA from 1 species
AAAGAUUAAGCCAUGCAUGUCUAAGCACAAGCCUAAGAAUGGUAAAGCCGCGAAUGGCUCAUUACAACAGCCAUAGUUUACUGGAUCUUACUUUCCUACUUGGAUAACUGUGGUAAUUCUAGAGCUAUACACGCAUGAAAGCUCUGACCGUUCGGGAGGAGCGCAUUUAUUAGAACAAAACCAAUCGGGCCUUCGGGCCCGCCAGUUGGUGAAUCUGAAUAACUUUGCAGAUCGCACGGUCUCGUACCGGCGACGUAUCUUUCAAAUGUCUGCCUUAUCAACUUUAGAUGGUAGUUUACACGCCUACCAUGGUUGUAACGGGUAACGGAGAAUAAGGGUUCGACUCCGGAGAGGGAGCCUGAGAAAUGGCUACCACAUCCAAGGAAGGCAGCAGGCACGCAAAUUACCCACUCCCGGCACGGGGAGGUAGUGACGAAAAAUAACGAGGCGGUUCUCUACGAGGCCCGCCAUCGGAAUGGGUACAAUUUAAAUCCUUUAACGAGGAUUAUUGGAGGGCAAGUCUGGUGCCAGCAGCCGCGGUAAUUCCAGCUCCAAUAGCGUAUAUUAAAGUUGUUGCGGUUAAAAAGCUCGUAGUUGGAUCUGCGGCCGAGGAGGGCGGUCCCCCGUUGGGUGGCUACUGCCUUUCCUGGCCUAACUCUCUGGUUUUCCUCUGGUGCUCUUCACUGAGUGCCUCUGGUGGCCAGAACGUUUACUUUGAAAAAAUUAGAGUGCUCAAAGCAGGCAUACUGCCUGAAUAGUGGUGCAUGGAAUAAUGAAAUAGGAUAUUGGUUCUGUUUUAUUGGUUCGGAGCUAAUAUAAUGAUUGAAGGGGACAGACGGGGGCAUUCGUAUUGCGACGUUAGAGGUGAAAUUCUUGGAUCGUCGCAAGACGGACUACUGCGAAAGCAUUUGCCAAGAAUGUUUUCAUCAAUCAAGAACGAAAGUCUGAGGUUCGAAGGCGAUCAGAUACCGCCCUAGUUCAGACCGUAAACGAUGCCAACUAGCGAUCCGAGGGCGUUAAUUUAUGACUCCUCGGGAAGCUUCCGGGAAACCAAAGUUUUUGGGUUCCGGGGGAAGUAUGGUUGCAAAGCUGAAACUUAAAGGAAUUGACGGAAGGGCACCACCAGGAGUGGAGCCUGCGGCUUAAUUUGACUCAACACGGGAAAACUCACCCGGCCCGGACACCGUAAGGAUUGACAGAUUGAGAGCUCUUUCUUGAUUCGGUGGGUGGUGGUGCAUGGCCGUUCUUAGUUGGUGGAGCGAUUUGUCUGGUUAAUUCCGAUAACGAACGAGACUCUAGCCUGCUAAAUAGGCAGCGGAUUCUUAGUCCGCUGUACUUCUUAGAGGGACAAGCAGCGUCUAGCUGCACGAGAUUGAGCAAUAACAGGUCUGUGAUGCCCUUAGAUGUUCGGGGCUGCACGCGCGCUACACUGAAGGAAUCAACAUGCUUCUCAACCUUGCCCGGAAGGGCUAGGUAACCCGUUGAAACUCCUUCGUGAUUGGGAUAGGGAAUUGCAAUUAUUUCCCUUGAACGAGGAAUUCCCAGUAAGUGCGGGUCAUCAGCUCGCGCUGAUUACGUCCCUGCCCUUUGUACACACCGCCCGUCGCUACUACCGAUUGGAAGUAGACGAGAGGUCUCGGGAUCGAUUCCUGGGCUGCCUUCCGGUAGCCCAGGACAUUGAGAACUUGAUCUAUCGCCUAGUUCUAGAGGAAGUAAAAGUCGUAACAAGGUUUCCGUAGGUGAACCUGC